GCCAGGGGCGGUGGUGCACACCUGUAAUCCUAGAAGCUCGGGAGGCUGAGGCAGGAGGAUCACAAGUUCAAAGCCAGCCUCAGCAACUCAGUGAGACCCAAAGCAACCCAGCGAGACCCUGUCUCUG
rnacentral:sRNA from 1 species